UGCAUUAUUCCUUGAUUACCGACGUUGUGCCGUGAACCGAGGGAAUGAGUGCCCCGGCAGCUGGUGAGGGCGGCCUUUAACCUGUAGGACGACAGCCUGGACUCGGGCUGGCUGUCAAGAGGAUUAGUGAAGUGACAGGAACAGCAGCGGCGGCCAAUCAUUGUUUGUCAGUCAUCGCAGUUUGUCGUGAUGCGGCCCUUCACCCAUCGUGUGGCAUCUGUGCUUUGAAACGCCCUUGUUUGUUUGCCUCGUGGACUACUUGCGGCCUGAAGGGAGGAGAAGAGAGAGAGAGAGAGAGGAGAGGGAGAAAAGGAGGGAGAGAGAGGGCAGGGAGCUUUCUUAUGAGACUCCCCUCCUCACCUCCUUUCCCCUAGGCACGUGGUCACCGCCUUCCCACUCCCCCGCGGCGCCACCCACCUCCACCCACCACCCAACCAGUGUUUAGAAAGUGACCGCACCGUAAUAUACUGAUGCACAACUAAGUGAGGUGCUAAUUUCUCGAGACUUAUGACACCGUGAAACAAAGAGAACAGGCGAAGGUAAAAGAUGUUCUAGUGAAGGUUUGGAGUAAGGCAUCAACUUUGGCGGAUCAUAUCAUGCUUAGAACUGAUGACGGAUGAAGAACCAAAAUAAGCCGCAAGGGAUUGAGUAUUACACUGA